rnacentral:lncRNA from 1 species
CACAGUCAAAGCAGAAACAGACCUUCUGGAAAACACUGCAUCAUGUAAUUUGAUAGGGAUCUGACCGAAGGACUUCAAUACGGGUUUUUUUUGUUUUUAUUCUUGUGGACCCUUGCCAACAUGGCUGCUGCUGACUGAGGUAUAGAUAGGUCAUCCUGGGACACCUGGUGAGACUGGACUACCUGGACCACCAGGAAGAACAGGCCCCCCUGGAGCGGCUGGACCAACCGGUACCAGAGGACCCAAAGGCUUACGGGGAGCACGAGGGCCUGAUGGUCCAACAGGAGAGAAUGGCAUUAAAGGAAAGAAGGGACUCGACGGCCCUCCUGGAAAACUUGGUUUUCCUGGUCCACAGGUAAAGUUUCAGGGUGUUUUUCUACUUUCCACUCCUAUCUCACAUUAAUUAUGUGGUGCUUAUGUUACCCUGGAGGGGAGAGGCAUCAAUGUGAUUUAAAAGACCU